rnacentral:lncRNA from 1 species
GGAGCAGGUGGAGUGGUGGCACUGGAUAGCGGUGUACACUUAAAGCGUUCUGGGAAUAUGAAUCCCUUCUGCACCCUGGAAUCACCAGUCCAGCCAUGCAUGGAGCUGGGGAAAGCAGGCCCUGAAUUGUCUAGAGAGACUUGGUGGAGGAGGCCACGGCCCGCCUUGUCCCUGCCGGGUCCCAGCCAGGUGUGUGUGCCCCAGCUGGACUCUCGGUGGUCUCCACAGGCUGCAGCAGAAGGAAUACCUUGGAACAACUGGAUGUUGUAAAUGUUUCUCAUCUGGCCUUAAAAUCCAUGAAAGCUGGAAAAUCACAAGGCAUCUGUGCACAUACUGGUGGAUUUUAAUGAGAGUCCUGUGUUUGGAGCACCAGAAAUAAACCAGCUUCAGAAGCAAA